GGCUCCGGGGAUGGUUCUUCCCGUUCUUUGCGCCGCCUUCACCCAUUGAAGGAGCCUGUGCCCACCCUGCCCAGUCGCUGUGGGGGCCGCUGAGGAGCUUCCGCUGCCAUCUUCAGAUCUUGUGUUCCUCACAGGGGCUCCACCAGGGCAGGGAUGGUGCAGAAUGGGGAAAUGGAGAGAGAACCUGAAAGAGCCCCAAACUCGAGGACCUAUUGCUUCCCAAGAAUAACAUCUUCCAGAAGAACCAGACAGAAAACUAGGCGUCUGGGAACCCUGAAAUCCUUGCAGGAGUAGCAUCAUCAUGACCCUCUCUGUUCCUUUUGGCAAAGGACUUGCCUCCAUUGUUUGUUUGUUCAAUUGUCUUGUCUGUUAAAUAAAUAAAACCCUUUUCAUAUACCUUCAAAAUUA
rnacentral:lncRNA from 1 species